CAGCUCUGCCUUUGAACCUGACAUGUUGUGUUUGUAACUUUAUGGGACAAGCAGUAGUGUUGGAGAGUAAGGACUUGUUAUAACUAACUCUUCAGCUCUCAACUGAACAGCUGUUUAAAAAAAACAAGAUACAUUU